rnacentral:rRNA from 1 species
ACGACUGCUAAGACUGGAUAGGAAGAUAAAAGGCAUCUUGUAUCUUUUAAAAGACCUAGUUAAUAGGUAUGCUUUAGGAGGGGCUUGCGCCAUAUUAGUUAGUUGGUAGGGUAAUGGCCUACCAAGACGAUGAUGUGUAGCUGGACUGAGAGGUUGAACAGCCACAUUGGGACUGAGACACGGCCCAAACUCCUACGGGAGGCAGCAGUAGGGAAUUUUCGGCAAUGGAGGAAACUCUGACCGAGCAACGCCGCGUGAAUGACGAAGUACUUCGGUAUGUAAAGUUCUUUUAUCGAGGAAGAAAAGCAAACGGCGAACCAUUUGUUUGCCGGUACUUGAUGAAUAAGCCCCGGCUAAUUAUGUGCCAGCAGCCGCGGUAAGACAUAAGGGGCAAGUGUUAUCCGGAAUUAUUGGGCGUAAAGGGUGCGUAGGCGGUCUAGUAAGUCAGUGGUGUAAUGGCUACGCUUAACGUUGUCCGGCUAUUGAAACUGCUAAACUUGAGUUAGAUAGAGGCGAGUGGAAUUCCAUGUGUAGCGGUAAAAUGCGUAAAUAUAUGGAGGAACACCAGAGGCGUAGGCGGCUCGCUGGGUCUUAACUGACGCUGAGGCACGAAAGCGUGGGGAGCAAACAGGAUUAGAUACCCUGGUAGUCCACGCCGUAAACGAUGAGUACUAAGUGUCGGGUUAAACCGGUACUGAAGUUAACACAUUAAGUACUCCGCCUGAGUAGUACGUACGCAAGUAUGAAACUUAAAGGAAUUGACGGGACUCCGCACAAGCGGUGGAUCAUGUUGUUUAAUUCGAAGAUACCCGAAAAACCUUACCAGGUCUUGACAUGUUUUUGCAAAAUGAUAGUAAUAUCGUGGAGGUUACCAGAAACACAGGUGGUGCAUGGUUGUCGUCAGCUCGUGUCGUGAGAUGUUAGGUUAAGUCCUAAAACGAGCGAAACCCUUAUCGUUAGUUGCCAGCACGUUAUGGUGGGGACUUUAACGAGACUGCCAAUGAUAAAUUGGAGGAAGGUGAGGAUCACGUCAAAUCAGCAUGCCCCUUAUGACCUGGGCUACAAACGUGAUACAAUGGCUGUUACAAAGGGUAGCUGAAACGCAAGUUCCUGGCCAAUCCCCAAAAACAGUCCCAGUCCGGAUUGAAGUCUGCAACUCGACUUCAUGAAGUUGGAAUCGCUAGUAAUCGCGAAUCAGCAUGUCGCGGUGAAUACGUUCGCGGGGUUUGUACACACCGC